rnacentral:rRNA from 1 species
GAGGGCUGUCGCUGACUUUUCAAGUCGUGCACGCCCGAGCGCUCUCACACAGUCCACGUCACCCCUAUGUGCACCACCGCGUGGGUCCCCCCUUUCAAAGGGGGGCUCGCGUUUUCACACAAACUUGAAGUAGUGUAGAAUGUUUUUUUUUAUUUGCGAUGACACGCAAUCAAUACAACUUUCAACAACGGAUCUCUUGGCUCUCGCAUCGAUGAAGAACGCAGCGAAAUGCGAUACGUAAUGUGAAUUGCAAAAUUCAGUGAAUCAUCGAAUCUUUGAACGCACCUUGCGCCCCUUGGCAUUCCGAGGGGCACACCCGUUUGAGUGUCGUGAAAUUCUCAAAACCCCUUCCUUUGCCGGAAUGGAUUUUGGACUUGGAGGCCUUUUGCUGGUUUCACCUCGAAGCCAGCUCCUCCUAAAUGGAUUANUGGGGUCUGCUUUGCCGAUCCUUGACGUGAUAAGAUGCUUCUACGUCUCGGGUUAUUGGCACUGUGCCUCUGCUUCUAACCGUCUCUUUUGACAACGAUGGUGUUCCGGUCACCGCCGAUUCUUCGGUGGGAGGCUUGACCCACAAAACGACCUUGACCUCAAAUCGGGUGAGACUACCCGCUGAACUUAA